rnacentral:rRNA from 1 species
AUUGAACGCUGGCGGCAGGCCUAACACAUGCAAGUCGAGCGGAUGAAGGGAGCUUGCUCCUGGAUUCAGCGGCGGACGGGUGAGUAAUGCCUAGGAAUCUGCCUGGUAGUGGGGGAUAACGUCCGGAAACGGGCGCUAAUACCGCAUACGUCCUGAGGGAGAAAGUGGGGGAUCUUCGGACCUCACGCUAUCAGAUGAGCCUAGGUCGGAUUAGCUAGUUGGUGGGGUAAAGGCCUACCAAGGCGACGAUCCGUAACUGGUCUGAGAGGAUGAUCAGUCACACUGGAACUGAGACACGGUCCAGACUCCUACGGGAGGCAGCAGUGGGGAAUAUUGGACAAAGGGCGACAGCCUGAUCCAGCCAUGCCGCGUGUGUGAAGAAGGUCUUCGGAUUGUAAAGCACUUUAAGUUGGGAGGAAGGGCAGUAAGUUAAUACCUUGCUGUUUUGACGUUACCAACAGAAUAAGCACCGGUUAACUUCGUG